rnacentral:rRNA from 1 species
CCUACGGGAGGCAGCAGUGAGGAAUAUUGGUCAAUGGACGAGAGUCUGAACCAGCCAAGUAGCGUGAAGGAUGACUGCCCUAUGGGUUGUAAACUUCUUUUAUAAAGGAAUAAAACGAGGCACGUGUGCCUUUUUGCAUGUACUUUAUGAAUAAGGAUCGGCUAACUCCGUGCCAGCAGCCGCGGUAAUACGGAGGUUCCGAGCAUUAUCCGGAUUUAUUGGGUUUAAAGGGAGCGUAGAUGGGUUGUUAAGUCAGUUGUGAAAGUUUGCGGCUCAACCGUAAAAUUGCAAUUGAUACUGGCAGUCGUGAGUACAGUUGAGGUAGGCGGAAUUCGUGGUGUAGCGGUGAAAUGCUUAGAUAUCACGAAGAACCCCGAUUGCGAAGGCAGCUUACUAAACUGUGACUGACAUUGAUGCUCGAAAGUGUGGGUAUCAAACAGGAUUAGAUACCCUGGUAGUC